rnacentral:lncRNA from 1 species
CCAGUGAUGUAUAGUUUCAGCCUGCUGUCUUUGUCAGAACUCAAAAAUCACUACCAUAAAUUGUACUCCCUCUGAUCCAUAAUAAGUGUCAGGGAUUUAGUACAAAGUUGUACUAACUUUGUACGAAAUGCCUGACACUUAUUACAAAUCAUGGAUAAUGCAAGAUUGUGGAAGAACAAGAUUCUUCCCUUGCUCGAGAACCGGUGGCGGCGAUGUACAAUAAUAAUAUGAAAACUAUGUCGAAUUCUUCAUAUUAUCAGUGCUCGAUGUAAACACAUCCAUGAAUUCCAAAGUGCCUGGGGAGAAAUGUG